CUAGACUGCGCCCGUCGUGGUAAAUCCCAUGACCGGGCGUGAGAACCCGGAUC
rnacentral:ncRNA from 1 species